rnacentral:lncRNA from 1 species
GUUGUGUGCUUUACUCGUCAAGAUGCGUUUCCUGGUUGCUCUUCUUCUCGUGGCCAUUGUUGCCGCUGUUGUGGCCACGCCUGUCCUCGGUCGCCCCGACGGCGGUGAUGUCGACCCAGUCACUGACGACGGUGGUGAUGUUGACCCAGUCACUGGUCUGGUGAGCUGCCUGGUGUUCAACCUUGGUGUUGAUAACGUGUUGGCGGUCAUCGAUGAUUUAAAUGUUGGCCGCUAGCUCCAGGGUUUUUCACCUUCUACAAGUUUGGCUGAAUGUUGGAAAAACUACCCAGAGGAAUACUGCCCAUAUUGCCCCAUCACUUUUAUGCACUAAGUGGCUAAUCCUACGCAAGCAGGCAACCUCAACUGUGCAGACGGAUGAUGGUUAAUUUGUUUGACUAUCAAUUAUCUUAUUUUUAUUCAUGGUUUAAUAAAAUUCUGAAUUUAAAUUGCCUAACUAAUAAGAUUUUGUCCUGCGUUCCUCAAUGUUAUUCCACGUAAUUAUAUGACGACAUCUCAGAUGUUCUCAAUAAACGUAGCAACACAUUCAAAACUGAUUAUUUAAGCUGUAAUAAUAAAGUUUCAAUAAAAUUGCCAAUUCAAUUCUUUCUCACAUGAAACCAUUCCCAUGUACAGUAGUGUAGGUUGCAUCUUAUAUAUCCUGAGCGUCUGAUUUUUCCUAUAAAUGUUUUAAAUGUAAACGCCUCGCCGUUGGUCAUAUACCAUCAACUCUCGGUGCUGACUACUUCAUAUAUCAUUAUGAGACUGGAACCAAUUUGGUGAAGAUGGAUGAAGAUUAUUAGUGGGCGUACGGUUGCUGGUCAUUGAACGAAACCGUUUUAAAUAUUGUGAUGUCAAUCGUAAGCAGCACAGUUUGAACUAAUACAUAUUUUUAAAAUAGCGUAUAUCCAACGUUUUACUCGCUACUCGUGAAUGUAAAUAUUUUAAAACCUCAUAUUAUCUGAUAAUAAUUUUUGUUUCCAAAAAAGGGUUGCGUUCUUCAAAAAUCUGUAACACGUAUAUCGAUGAAAAAAUUGUUCAAUUUAA